AUUGAACGCUGGCGGCAUGCCUUACACAUGCAAGUCGAACGGUAACGGGCCUUCGGGUGCCGACGAGUGGCGAACGGGUGAGUAAUGUAUCGGAACGUACCUUUCAGUGGGGGAUAACGUAGCGAAAGUUACGCUAAUACCGCAUAUUCUGUGAGCAGGAAAGCAGGGGAUCGCAAGACCUUGCGCUGAUUGAGCGGCCGAUAUCAGAUUAGCUAGUUGGUGAGGUAAAGGCUCACCAAGGCGACGAUCUGUAGCGGGUCUGAGAGGAUGAUCCGCCACACUGGAACUGAGACACGGUCCAGACUCCUACGGGAGGCAGCAGUGGGGAAUUUUGGGACAAUGGGGGCAACCCUGAUCCAGCCAUGCCGCGUGAGUGAAGAAGGCC
rnacentral:rRNA from 1 species